rnacentral:lncRNA from 1 species
GCCAAAAGUCCCAGGACAUGGCCUGGCCCCCUACCCCUCAAUGCUGUCCCUCUUCUGACACCCCAUGGAGUCACCCUAUGGACUCAGGACCAAUGGGGUUUUGGGGAGAAGACAGAUCGUCUGUCUACAGCCUUAUCUAGUUGAAUCUGAAGAUGUGGACCUGCUGAUGAAGAGGGCUGACUGUAUCUAACUUAGGGUCUUGCAUGCAGCUGGUACUUAACGCAUUUUAUUGACUGUUUUAGCUAACAUUCAACAGACAAUUCCUAAUAAAAAACUCUUAAAAGUAUGAAAAAAAAGGAAACCUGCUCUAAAGUGGCAGGAAAACCAGCCUGGGCAACAUAGCAAGAUCUUGUCUCUACAACAAAAGUUUUAAAAUUCACUGCCUGCCUGUAGUCCCAGCCACUCAGGAAGCUGAGGCAGGAGGAUCCCUUAAGCCCAGGAGUUUGAGGUUACAGUGAGGUAGAUCACACCAUUGCUCUCCAGUCUGGGUGACAACAAGGCCCUGAGAAAUAAAAAAAAAAGAAAGGAAAGGAAGGAAAGAGUGUAAGUAUUGAAAAGGAAGAGACAAAACUGUCAUUAUUUGCAUAUAAAAUAAUAAAUGUUAGCCAAAGAAGCCUAAGAGAAUCAACUAAGAUUUUACUGGAAGUAAUAUGAGAAUUCAGUACGGUGGCUAGAAACAAAAUCAAGAGAGCAGCACACAAACCUCAACUGCUUUUCAGAUGUACCACCAAUAACUAACUAGAAAAUGGAAGAAAGAUCCCAUUUACAAUGGCAAUACAAAUGUCUGAAGUAUUUAGGAACAAAAAUACAAAGAUCUGUUAUCUAACAAAAGAUGUGUAAGAUCUAUAUGAUGGAAACCCUAAAACUCUUCUGAAAGACAUUAACAAGAAAUGAAUUCAUGACAUGAGAUACCAUGUUCUAGAAUGUCGUACAGAUGUCAAUUCUCAAAUUUAUCUACAAAUUUAAGGUAAUCCUAUUCAAAUCCCAAGAUAGUUUUUGGUGGUGGCUGUUUUUGAGACAAGGUCUCGCUCUGUUGCCCAGGCUAGAGUGCAGUGGUAUGACCACAGCUCGCUGCAUCCUCGACCUCCCAGGCUCAAGCAAUCCUCCCACUUUAGCCUCUGAAGUCUCUCAUAUGGUGUCCAAGAAAUGGGGACAAAUCUCACAAAGGGACUAGGCUCAGGAGGGCUGGAAUAUUCAGGGAAGUUUCUUUCUUUCUUUCUUUCUUUUUUUUUUUUUUUUUUUUUGAGGCAGAGUCUCGCUCUGUCCCCCAGGCUGGAGUGCAGCAGCCUGAUCUUGGCUGGCUGCAUGCUCCACCUCCCAGGUUCACGCCAUUCUCCUGCUUCAGCCUCACAAGUAGCUGGGACGACACACGCCCGCCACCACACCCAGCUAAUUUUUUGCAUUUUUAGUAGAGACGGGGUUCCACUGUGUUAGCCAGGAUGGUCUCGAUCUCCUGACCUUGUGAUCCGCCUGCCUUGGCCUCCCAAAGUGCUGGGAUUACAGGCGUGAGCCACCGCACCUGGCCUAUUCAGGGAAGGUUUCAAGCAGAAAGAUGAACUGAGUUGGCUUUGGAGAGAUUCACAGGACUCCCACAGGCAGAGUGAAAUAAGGGCAUUGUAGAUGGACAAAGGCACAGAUAAGCAGCAAUGGGGACAGUGUGACUGGGGGACGCUGAGGGGCUGCUGUGGCUGGAAUGGAGGGUUGCCACCAUAAUGGAAAUGGCCAAUGAGGCAAAUAAGGUUGGAUUAGGAGCAUAGCAUCAAGGGUGCCAGCUUAUUAAAUCCCUCUUCCAGUAUGCUAGCACUGGCCUGCUGGGAAAAGUAAUACAUCACAUAAUCAAACAAAAGGCAAAAAGAGGCGAGCUCCAGGAAUGGGCACUGUAAACAGGACUCGCCCCAGGGUAGCCAGAUGCAGGCUUUAGAUUUGUUGAUGCAGGUUGAGCAUCUCUAAUCCGAGGGGGAAUGUCUCAUAUGGUGUCCAAGAAAUGGUGACACAUCUCACAGAGGGCCUAGGCUCAGGAGGGCUGGAGUAUGAGACAUUCCCCCUCCCCUGUGAAUUUGAAAACGUGGCCAAAAUUUUUUUUUAAAAAUGGCUACCCUGUAG